rnacentral:rRNA from 1 species
UACGAGGGGGGCAAGCGUUGUUCGGAAUUAUUGGGCGUAAAGGGUGCGUAGGCGGUCUGAUAAGUCAUCUGUGAAAUCUAUGGGCUCAACCCAUAGUCUGCAGGCGAAACUGUCGGGCUUGAGUAUGGGAGAGGUGAGUGGAAUUUCCGGUGUAGCGGUGAAAUGCGUAGAUAUCGGAAGGAACACCUGUGGCGAAAGCGGCUCACUGGACCAUUACUGACGCUGAUGCACGAAAGCUAGGGGAGCAAGCAGG